CGUAGGUGGCGAGCGUUAUCCGGAUUUACUGGGCGUAAAGCAUGUGCAGACGGGUUGGUAAGUGGUGUAUGAAAGCGUCCGGCUUAACCGGGCAAGCGUAGGCCAGACUGCCAGUCUUGAGAGUGGGAGAGGGAUGUGGAAUUCCGGGUGUAGUGGUGAAAUGCGUAGAGAUCCGGAGGAACCCCAGAGGCGAAGGCGGCGUCCUGGCCCAUUUCUGACGUUCAGACAUGACAGCAUGGGGAGCGAACGGGAUUAGAAACCCCGGUAGUCCAUGCCGUAAACGAUGUCGACUAGGCGCUGGGCGGGUAAUACCGCGCGGUGCCGCAGCUAACGCGAUAAGUCGACCGCCUGGGGACUACGACCGCAAGGUUA
rnacentral:rRNA from 1 species